UAAUACGUAGGGCGCAAGCGUUGUCCGGAAUUAUUGGGCGUAAAGAGCUCGUAGGCGGUUUGUCGCGUCUGGUGUGAAAACUCAAGGCUCAACCUUGAGCUUGCAUCGGGUACGGGCAGACUAGAGUGCGGUAGGGGUGACUGGAAUUCCUGGUGUAGCGGUGGAAUGCGCAGAUAUCAGGAGGAACACCGAUGGCGAAGGCAGGUCACUGGGCCGCAACUGACGCUGAGGAGCGAAAGCAUGGGGAGCGAACAGGAUUAGAUACCCUGGUAGUCCAUGCCGUAAACGUUGGGCACUAGGUGUGGGGCUCAUUCCACGAGUUCCGUGCCGCAGCAAACGCAUUAAGUGCCCCGCCUGGGGAGUACGGCCGCAAGGCUA
rnacentral:rRNA from 1 species